rnacentral:rRNA from 1 species
AUGAACGCUGGCGGCGUGCCUAAUCCCUGCCAGUCGAGCGAACAGAUGAGGAGCUUGCUCCUCUGACGUUAGCGGCGGACGGGUGAGUAACACGUGGAUAACCUACCUAUAAGACUGGGAUAACUUCGGGAAACCGGAGCUAAUACCGGAUAAUAUAUUGAACCGCAUGGUUCAAUAGUGAAAGACGGUUUUGCUGUCACUUAUAGAUGGAUGCGCGCCGCAUUAGCUAGUUGGUAAGGUAACGGCUUACCAAGGCAACGAUGCGUAGCCGACCUGAGAGGGUGAUCGGCCACACUGGAACUGAGACACGGUCCAGACUCCUACGGGAGGCAGCAGUAGGGAAUCUUCCGCAAUGGGCGAAAGCCUGACGGAGCAACGCCGCGUGAGUGAUGAAGGUCUUCGGAUCGUAAAACUCUGUUAUUAGGGAAGAACAAAUGUGUAAGUAACUAUGCACGUCUUGACGGUACCUAAUCAGAAAGCCACGGCUAACUACGUG